rnacentral:rRNA from 1 species
AGUGAGAAUGCCGGAAUGAGUAGCGAGAAUUAUGUGAGAAUCAUAAUGGCCGAAAGUCUAAGGUUUCCUGAGGAAGGUUCGUCCUCUCAGGGUUAGCCGGGAGCUAAGGUGAGGCGGAAACGCGUAGCCGAUGCACAUACGGUAGAAAUUCCGUAGCCUCCGAAGAUUUAAGCACAGGGACACUUUUGAAGGGCUGAGCCGGGCGUUGGUUGCCCCGGUCGAAAGGGACACGAUUGAGUGGAAGUCAGUUUGGAAAGAGGCGAGAAAAGCUGUGUGUAUAUGAAAGGAGCCCGUACCGCAAACCGACACAGGUAGACAGGAAGAAGAUUCUAAGGCCAGCGGGAGAAGGGUUGUUAAGGAACUCGGCAAGUUGACCCCGUAACUUCGGGAGAAGGGGUGCUUACGAAGGUAAGCCGCAGAGAAUAGGCCCAAGCGACUGUUUAGCAAAAACACAGCUCUAUGCUAAAUCGAAAGAUGACGUAUAUGGGGUGACACCUGCCCGGUGCUGGAAGGUUAAGAGGAGAUGUGAGAGCAUUGAAUUGAAGCCCCAGUAAACGGCGGCCGUAACUAUAACGGUCCUAAGGUAGCGAAAUUCCUUGUCAGGUAAGUUCUGACCCGCACGAAUGGUGUAACGAUUUGGGCACUGUCUCAACAACCCACCCGGCGAAAUUGUAGUACCGGUGAAGAUGCCGGUUACCCGCGACUAGACGGAAAGACCCCAUGGAGCUUCACUGCAGCUUAAUAUUGGAUUUCGGUAUUUCAUGUACAGGAUAGGUGGGAGACUGGGAAAUACAGGCGUCAGCUUGUAUGGAGUCAUUGUUGGGAUACCACUCUUGAGGUGCUGGAAUUCUAACCUGUGGCCUUGAAUCAGGUCAGGGGACAUUGUUAGGCGGGCAGUUUGACUGGGGCGGUCGCCUCCUAAAAGGUAACGGAGGCGCUCAAAGGUUCGCUCAGCAUGGACGGAAACCAUGCCAAAGAGUGUAAACGCAUAAGCGAGCCUAACUGCGAGACUGACGGGUCGAGCAGUAACGAAAGUUGGAGUUAGUGAUCCGGCGGUAUAUGUGAGUGGAAAUGCCGUCGCUCAACGGAUAAAAGCUACCCUGGGGAUAACAGGCUGAUCUCCCCCAAGAGUCCACAUCGACGGGGAGGUUUGGCACCUCGAUGUCGGCUCAUCGCAUCCUGGGGCUGUAUUCGGUCCCAAGGGUUUGGCUGUUCGCCAAUUAAAGCGGUACGCGAGCUGGGUUCAGAACGUCGUGAGACAGUUCGGUCCCUAUCUGUCGUGGGCGUUGGAGAUUUGAAAGGAGCUGUCCCUAGUACGAGAGGACCGGGAUGGACGCACCUCUGGUGCACCAGUUGUCACGCCAGUGGCACAGCUGGGCAGCUAUGUGCGGAACGGAUAAACGCUGAAAGCAUCUAAGCGUGAAGCCGCCCUUAAGAUAAGAUCUCCUUUAAGACCCCUUGUAGACUACGAGGUUGAUAGGUCUGAUGUGUAAGCACGGUGACGUGUUUAGCUUGCAGAUACUAAUCGGUCGUUCGCUUUUCCU